UCCUACGGGGGGCAGCAGUGGGGAAUCUUGCGCAAUGGGCGGAAGCCUGACGCAGCAACGCCGCGUGUGGGAAGACGGCCUUCGGGUUGUAAACCACUUUCAGGGGGGACGAAGCUUCCAGGGUUAAUAGCCCAUGGGGUGACGGUACCCCCAGAAGAAGCCCCGGCUAACUACGUGCCAGCAGCCGCGGUAAUACGUAGGGGGCGAGCGUUGUCCGGAAUCAUUGGGCGUAAAGCGCGUGUAGGCGGCUCGGUAAGUCCGGUGUGAAACCUUGGGGCUCAACCCCAAGCCGGCACUGGAUACUGGCGAGCUUGAGUCCGGGAGGGGAGAGCGGAAUUCCUAGUGUAGCGGUGAAAUGCGCAGAUAUUAGGAAGAACACCGGUGGCGAAGGCGGCUCUCUGGAACGGUACUGACGCUGAGACGCGAAAGCGUGGGGAGCGAACAGGAUUAGAUACCCCUGUAGUCUC
rnacentral:rRNA from 1 species